rnacentral:rRNA from 1 species
GCGUUAGGCGGAAUCACUGGGCUUAAAGCGUGUGUAGGCGGAUCUGUAAGUACCUUGUGAAAUCCCACGGCUUAACCGUGGAACUGCUCGGUAUACUGCGGAUCUUGAGCUACCUAGGGGCGAGCGGAACAAACGGUGGAGCGGUGAAAUGCGUAGAUAUCGUUUGGAACGCCAAUGGUGAAAACAGCUCGCUGGGGGUAUGCUGACGCUGAGACACGAAAGCCAG